UGUUUACGUUUCCCAAGCUCUUCGUCUCAUCUCUUAGAUGGUAGAUUAGCAUUACUCAACCACUAGAUGCCCACGCGGAAAAUUCGGUUAUUCCGGAGAGUGUGGCGAUUUCUAUGCCAGAAAUCAAGUUAUGCUGGGUGUCAAGGCUGCAGUUGGGAAUUUUCUAGUUUAGAAGUGUAAAAGGCGUUGUUCCUCAUAU
ensembl:ncRNA W03G11.18 ncRNA